rnacentral:rRNA from 1 species
UACAGAGGGGGCAAGCGUUAUUCGGAAUUAUUGGGCGUAAAGGGCGCGUAGGCGGCUUUGCAAGUGACGGGUGAAAUCCCUCGGCUUAACCGAGGAACUGCCUGUCAAACUGCAUGGCUUGAGACCGGGAGAGGUGAGUGGAAUUCCCAGUGUAGCGGUGAAAUGCGUAGAUAUUGGGAGGAACACCAGUGGCGAAGGCGGCUCUCUGGACCGGUACUGACGCUGAUGCGCGAAAGCGUGGGGAGCAAACAGG